UACCAGCACCCCGAGUGGUCGGGACGAUUAUUGGGCCUAAAGCAUCCGUAGCCGGUUUUACAAGUCCUCCGUUAAAUCCAACUGCUUAACAGGUGGGCCGCGGAGGAUACUAUAAGACUAGGAGGCAGGAGAGGCAAGCGGUACUCAGUGGGUAGGGGUAAAAUCCGUUGAUCCAUUGAAGGCCACCAGUGGCGAAGGCGGCUUGCCAGAAUGCGCUCGACGGUGAGGGAUGAAAGCUGGGGGAGCAAACCGG
rnacentral:rRNA from 1 species